rnacentral:lncRNA from 1 species
UCGAACAUUUCGCCUCUAUACAAUUUUAACAAGAAGGUAUUGGAUCCGGAUCUAACAAUCCAAAGCAUCCAUUUAUUACCAACUCGUAAUUUAUGUUUUUAGAGGAAUCACAAGUUAGUUGGGAUUAGUCACUACCUUGCAACCUUUUGGGUUUUAAGCAUCAUUAUGUUCUAAACAGUUAACACCACCAUAUUAUCUCUACUAUAGAGACAAUCAAUUAGAUUACCAUAAUCCAAUCAUUGAUUAAUAAAGAACAAUGUUUUGUCAAACAAAACAUUUAUCCAUUUCACAUAGUGACAGAAUUUAGUUCCUUAAAAUUGGAAUAUAAAGACAAUCUAUGUUUUUCCAAUUUCUUUGGUAGUUCAUAUGAGGAAGUAAGUACCAUCUGCUUUCGCAGAGAUCUAUAUUUGAUUCACUUUCCGAAUGUGAAGCACCUUUUCCUUCUCUCAUAUAUCUUCUACUUCUUAUUAGU